CCAUCGCCUCUUUUAAGAGGCACCACCUACAAAGAUUAGAAAUAAA
rfam:Stomoxys calcitrans breed 8C7A2A5H3J4 unplaced genomic scaffold Scaffold372, whole genome shotgun sequence.